rnacentral:rRNA from 1 species
UACAGAGGGUGCGAGCGUUAAUCGGAAUUACUGGGCGUAAAGGGCGCGUAGGUGGUUGCGUAAGUGAGAUGUGAAAUCCCCGGGCUUAACCUGGGAAUUGCAUCUUAAACUGCGUAACUGGAGUGCAGUAGAGGGUAGUGGAAUUUCCGGUGUAGCGGUGAAAUGCGUAGAUAUCGGGAGGAACAUCAGUGGCGAAGGCGGCUGCCUGGCCCAAUACUGACACUCAGGUGCGACAGCGUGGGGAGCAAACAGG